rnacentral:antisense_RNA from 1 species
CACCUCUGUCAGAGUAAGGAUCUUUUCUUCUCCACAUUCCAAUACCUUCGAAAACACACGAGGAGAGGAAAGGGAGAAUAAACACAUCGAGGUUGUUUACAGAAUAGCAAAAAAAAGUAUGCAACUAGAAAUGAAAAAACAGGUCAGCGAUACUGAAUGGGUAUAAAGUUUCAGUUCUGUAAGAUGAAAAAGUUCAGAAGAUUGCUUGCAUAACAAUGUGAAUGUGCUGACCACUACUGGACAGGAGAUAUAAAGAUAGUUAUGAAGGAGCACAGUUUAAGAACCAGAUAAUAGAAGGAGGACACGACCAUACAGUCACCCCUUGGUGUUCUCAAGGGAUCGGUUCCAGGACCCUGCUUGGGUAAUGAAAUCCGCACCUACUCAAGUCUUGCUGUCUGCCCCCUGGAAAAUGCAGACACGAAAAGUUGGCCCCCGGUAUCCACGGGUUUCGCAUCCCUCAAAUACUGUACUUUCUACCCGUAACUGGACCUGUGCAGUUCUGACCUCAACUAUUAAAAUUUGAAAGGCAAA